rnacentral:rRNA from 1 species
CGCCUAACACAUGCAAGUCGAACGAAGUAGCAAUACUUAGUGGCAGACGGGUGAGUAACAUGUAGGUAUCUGCCCUUUGGCCUGGAAUAACACGAGGAAACUUGUGCUAAUACCGGAUAAGUCUUUACGGAGAAAGCUUUAUGCACCAUUGGAUGAGCCUGCACUUGAUUAGUUUGUUGGUGGGGUAAUGGCCUACCAAGACUGUGAUCAAUAGCUGAUUUGAGAGGAUGAUCAGCCACAUUGGGACUGAGACACGGCCCAAACUCCUACGGGAGGCAGCAGUGGGGAAUCUUGCACAAUGGAGGAAACUCUGAUGCAGCGAUGCCGCGUGAGUGAAGAAGGCCUUUGGGUUGUAAAGCUCUUUCGUCGGGGAAGAAAAUGACUGUACCCGAAUAAGAAGGUCCGGCUAACUUCGUGCCAGCAGCCGCGGUAAUACGAAGGGACCUAGCGUAGUUCGGAAUUACUGGGCUUAAAGAGUUCGUAGGUGGUUGAAAAAGUUGGUGGUGAAAUCCCAGAGCUUAACUCUGGAACUGCCAUCAAAACUUUUCAGCUAGAGUAUGAUAGAGGAAAGCAGAAUUUCUAGUGUAGAGGUGAAAUUCGUAGAUAUUAGAAAGAAUACCAAUUGCGAAGGCAGCUUUCUGGAUCAUUACUGACACUGAGGAACGAAAGCAUGGGUAGCGAAGAGGAUUAGAUACCCUCGUAGUCCAUGCCGUAAACGAUGUGUGUUAGACGUUGGAAAUUUAUUUUCAGUGUCGCAGCGAAAGCGAUAAACACACCGCCUGGGGAGUACGACCG